rnacentral:rRNA from 1 species
UCGGGAAUUUUGCUCAAUGGGCGAAAGCCUGAAGCAGCAACGCCGCGUGAGGGAUGAAGGCCUUCGGGUUGUAAACCUCUUUUCUCAGGGAAGAAUAAUGACGGUACCUGGGGAAUAAGCCUCGGCUAACUACGUG